UCUCAGACUCUCUCUUACUCACUCGGCCGUCUCUUUCUCUCUCUCUCUCACUCACGAAACUCACGAAACUCACGAAACUCAACCCUACUAUUUCUCUCCCGAUCUGAUCUGAGACUAACCCUCACCUCAUCGGCCGCCGUCCCUUGGCUCUCUGUCUCUCUCUCGACUCGUCCCUUGGCUCUCUCUCACUCUUCACAUCUUUAAGUCUCUUAGAGUCGCGCGAGACUCAUUCUCUUUCUCCAAACCGAACCAAACAUCAUCCAAUUUUAUUGGUUUUUGGAGCGAAUCCUUGUAAAUUCUGGAGGGCUCUGGUUCAUUCUAAGUAGUUGUGCUUAGUCUCUGUGGGUUUGGAUUAAUAGGCAAAAUUGAAGUUGUUUAGCGUCACUGCUGCUGCUGCUGCCUGCUGCCUGCUGCUGCUGCUGCUGCUGCCGCCUGCUGCCGCCUGCUGCCUCAUGCUGCUGCUGCUGGUAUUCUGAGCUUUGAAAGUUUGGAAAAUUUUGCUUAAAUGGAGAAAUGGGGAGUAAAACAUCCAUGACAAAUUUGCAUAAGACUCUCCCUUCUUAGUGUGAUUAAGAUAUGUUGGAAGGUUGCUUUGUGAAGGCUUUUGGAAGAAUGGAUGCAGCAGAUUUUUUGCAAGGAUAUUAUCUCUAUGUGUAUUUUUGUGAUGGGUUGUAAUCUUUAAUGUCAUAAGUUUAAUUUGGUUUGUGUAUUAUUUUUUGUAAUGGUUUGUAAGAGAUUAUAUUUCCUUUCCUUGGUUGGUUGGUUGAAUUGAAUGUGUGUAUGUGAGAUUUAUUUAGUUUAGAAACUUAGAUUGGAAUGAUGGAUUUUUAUAGCUUGAAUUUACAUAAUUUCAGGUUUUGAAAGAGAAGUAAAAAGUGUUUUGGGCUUGUUCAUAAGAAUUUAAUAGGUUUUGGCAAUUUGACAACAAAAAAAAGGGUUUUGGCUGAAAGGAAAUCGGAUUUGGGCUUUGUUUUACUAAAAAAAAUAUGAUUUGGGCUUUUUUUGGCCGAAAAUAAAUAAGAUUUGGGCUUUUGGAAAAUUGAAAAAAUGGGCCCAAGCCCAAACCGAGAAGAAGCCAGAACCGACCCGAGACCCGAGCCCAUUUUCGGUUCGGCUCAUUUUCGGGUUUCAUCCUAGACCCGACCCGACCCGAGAACCGAGCUCUCCUUCGGUUUGGCUCGCGGGUCGGCCAAAAUUUGACCCGACCCGAACCGUGCCCAGGCCUAUUAAAAACUACGUCAUUUUUACUGACCUUGCUGUUUGGCCACCAAACGUUUUUGUGGCUGAUUCUGGAGACUUAAAUUAAAAAUAAAAAAAAUCUCCUUUCCGAACCCUCCUCUCUCUGCCCAAUUCACUUCUCUAUACCUCCUCUCAGCAUCGCGCACACCACCGUUACUCCGGCGUCGGCAGAACAAUUGUCCACCGACGACGACUAGUCAUAUAGAAACUCUCUUCCCCUAUGAUUUCUCUUGGCAUGAGUUACUUAUUUCCCCCCUCUCUCUGCCCCUAAUUUUCUAGAAUCUCCUCAGCCACUUGCUUCUUCUGCUGCCUCUCUUCAGGUUUCAGUUUGAAAUACUUGCUUAAGAGGCUAUAUUCUGUCAAGAGGUAUGGAUAGCUAAAAAUCUUGCUUUUUGGUUAAGAGAGGCAGAUGAUGAAUGAGUUUGAGAAGCUGAAGCAACAAUUGGUAGAGUAUGAGUUCAUGUCACGGUACAUAUCCCACAAGCUUGGUCUCUAGUCUUCAUGUGGAGAAAAUGAGUGCAUAACUUGGGGUUACAAAGGGAAAGAAAAUUCGGAGCCUGGUCUCUAGUUUUUAUUUUUAUUUUUUGGUGAACCUGGACUCUAGUCUUUGAGUGUUCUUCAUUCAUUUAUGCUUCUAGUUUUUGGAUAUAGGGUACGAAAUUUAUGUGUACUUAAAUGACUAGUAUGCUUGUGUGCCUCAGAAUGUUUACAACUUUAUUUAUAUCAUUUUCAAUUGAUUUUGCUUUCCUAAA